rnacentral:rRNA from 1 species
UACGUAGGGGGCGAGCGUUGUCCGGAAUUAUUGGGCGUAAAGAGCUCGUAGGCGGCUUAGUAAGUCGGCGGUGAAAUACCGAGGCUCAACCUCGGCACUGCCGUCGAUACUGCUAUGGCUAGAGUUUGGUAGAGGAGAACGGAAUUCCCGGUGUAGCGGUGGAAUGCGCAGAUAUCGGGAGGAACACCGAUGGCGAAGGCAGGUCUCUGGGCAUUAACUGACGCUGAGGAGCGAAAGCAUGGGGAGCGAACAGG